UGCUGCUCUCACUUGCUCCUCUUGCUGCAGUCAUUACACAGCUCACUUUGUUUACAGGAUCAUCUUUCCUCCAUGCUCUGGGCUCCUUGAGAGCAGGGCUCUGUUUUAUUCUCAGUGUCCCUGGGCGUCUUCAGCAUCUAGUACUUUCCUAGCACCUAGCUGAGGAGGGACUCAAUUGAGUGGGAGUGAAGAGACGCCACAGCCAACCCCAGAUCCCUGCUGGUCUUCACAGAGGCAGCGUAUUUUCCUGUGGGUUGUCAAGACUCUCCUCCAGCUCUAUGAGCUGUGAACGGCUAAGAGAGCAGGAAACAUGUCCUAUUCACAUCAUCAGGCAAAAUGCCUGCCCCUACCCGAGGCCUCAAAAUUCAUGAAGAAGAUGACCUGGACCCCAAAAAUUGCUCUUCCAUUUACCUUCAGUUUCCAACUCUGUUACCACUCAGUGGAUGAUGGUGGGAGAUCUAUGAUGGUUUUCCCAUUUGCCUGGUGAGGAUUCGUCUCAAUCAACUUUGUCAAAGACAAAUUCAUUUCACUUCUUACUGAUAAGAGAUAUCAUCUUACUGACAGAAUAUAUCACACUCAUGCAAGAAUAUUUUUAAGUUGUAUGAGCUAAGGAAAUAAAAAUAUAUUGAAAUAAUGAA